AUUCUAACUAAGGCAGAGAUUUCAAAGAUUUCUAUUUAUAUUGGCACAAUCUAUCUAAAGGCCACUAAUAACAGAUAAAAGUCAUUUUGCAACAGCUAUAUCCAAGCCAUAAGGAUUUACGCCUUAAUACGAUGGCUAAGAUUUCCUAUGCUGCAAUUUUUGCCCUUAUUCUUAUUAUUUCUGUUUCUAUGGCAAGUGUGGAAGGAUCAUUAUGUUCGAAUGAUCUGUACAUUACUAAUCCUCCUUGUCAGGAAUCAUUUUGCAAACUCAUAUGUGCUGGUCGCUAUGACGGUGGACGAGGACAUUGUGCGACAAGAAAAUCUAAUAAAAUAUCUUAUGAAGUAUGUGUAUGCAUUCAUGAGCAUGACUGUCCCCCAUAGGCAUUAGGGUUCAUAUUUUUAUAAAAAAAAUAUAUAAAGUUGAGAAAUGCCCUGUUUUGCAAAAUAGAUUAAUCAACAUUGUACUCCUUCAA